UCUGAGUGUAGUGUUGGAAGCUGCGAAAAAAAUGGAUGUGAAUUCGAUGGAGGUGGAAGUAAUUCCCAUUUACCCAUAAUAUAUUGAAAACUAUAUCGAAGAGUAUUCAGAAGAUAUUGAUUACGCUAAUGAAUGUAAAAAUAAGAAAAGGAUUGGAACGGGAAUUGAGUGUGUGCAUCAAUCGAAUCAAUCAAUAACAAAUAGUAUGAUAUAUAAACGUAAUGAUAAAAAGAAUUAUUUUUUAUUAGUUUUAUUAAAAUUUUAGGUGAUUGUGCAAAAACUUCCACCGCAAAUAAAAUCGAAUCCAUAUUUUCAGGGAAUAUAUGUAUAUAUAGAAUAGAGAACAACAAUUCAUUUUCAAUUUUAGAAUUUAUUCAAAAAAACUCUACGGAUCUCAUAAACGUAUGGAAAAAUGCAAUAAUAUCACAUAAAGCUAUAAAAACUUCAUUAGAUUUAGUAACUGUUUAUAAAAAAAUUAAUAUUAAUAGGGAUGAUGUAGAGAUACCUACUAUAACUCAAAAUCUAUCUAUCCCACCAUUUAUUUUAAUGCAAUCCAGUAGUAUUCCAGAGUGGGUUACUACUAUUACACAUCUACUGCAA